rnacentral:rRNA from 1 species
UACGGAGGGAGCUAGCGUUGUUCGGAAUUACUGGGCGUAAAGAGUACGUAGGCGGUUAUUCAAGUCAGAGGUGAAAGCCUGGAGCUCAACUCCAGAACUGCCUUUGAAACUAGAUAGCUAGAAUCAUGGAGAGGUUAGUGGAAUUCCGAGUGUAGAGGUAAAAUUCGUAGGUAUUCGGAAGAACACCAGUGGCGAAGGCGACUCACUGGACAUGUAUUGACGCUGAGGCACGAAAGCGUGGGGAGCAAACAGG